CUGAAGGGCGCAGCUGAUCCAGCAAUGCCGCGUGCAGGAUAGAAGGCCCUCGGGUUGUAAACUGCUUUUGUACGGAACGAAAAGCCUGGGGCUAAUAUCCCCGGGUCAUGACGGUACCGUAAGAAUAAGCACCGGCUAACUACGUGCCAGCAGCCGCGGUAAUACGUAGGGUGCAAGCGUUAAUCGGAAUUACUGGGCGUAAAGCGUGCGCAGGCGGUUUUGUAAGACAGUGGUGAAAUCCCCGGGCUCAACCUGGGAACUGCCUUUGUGACUGCAAGGCUAGAGUGCGGCAGAGGGGGAUGGAAUUCCGCGUGUAGCAGUGAAAUGCGUAGAUAUGCGGAGGAACACCGAUGGCGAAGGCAAUCCCCUGGGCCUGCACUGACGCUCAUGCACGAAAGCGUGGGGAGCAAACAGGAUUAGAUACCCUGGUAGUCCACGCCCUAAACGAUGUCAACUGGUUGUUGGGUCUUAACUGACUCAGUAACGAAGCUAACGCGUGAAGUUGACCGCCUGGGGAGUACGGCCGCAAGGUUGAAACUCAAAGGAAAUUGACGGA
rnacentral:rRNA from 1 species